rnacentral:rRNA from 1 species
CCUACGGGGGACAGCAGUGAGGAAUAUUGGUCAAUGGACGAGAGUCUGAACCAGCAAAGUAGCGUGAAGGAUGACUGCCCUAUGGGUUGUAAACUUCUUUUAUAUGGGAAUAAAAUGUUCCACGUGUGGGAUUUUGUAUGUACCAUAUGAAUAAGGAUCGGCUAACUCCGUGCCAGCAGCCGCGGUAAUACGGAGGCUCCGAGCGUUAUCCGGAUUUAUUGGGUUUAAAGGGAGCGUAGGUGGAUUGUUAAGUCAGUUGUGAAAGUUUGCGGCUCAACCGUAAAAUUGCAGUUGAAACUGGCAGUCUUGAGUACAGUAGAGGUGGGCGGAAUUCGUGGUGUAGCGGUGAAAUGCUUAGAUAUCACGAAGAACUCCGAUUGCGAAGGCAGCUCACUGGACUGCAACUGACACUGAGGCGCGAAAGUGUGGGUAGCAAACAGGAUUAGAUACCCCAGUAGUC